rnacentral:tRNA from 1 species
AAGCGAAAGCUUGGUUCACUUCAUUGUUAUUUUGGUCUCCUUCUUCUGCCUCUUUGCUUUCUCAA